CCAUCGUUCGCCGUCGACGAAGCGGAUCCGCCGUUUUGACUCCGUGUGACAUCACAACCACAGCGUCUGUGUUUUCUUGACAUUUCACAGUUUACAGUCUCAUCAGCCGACCAUGUGACGCAGUCUUUCACAGAGUGGAAUUCCCUCUUUUUAAUUUGCAGCGUGAGAGACAAAGUGACUGAAGGAGGAUCGAGUUCCUGACCUGAAACCCGUCAGUCACGAUGAUGAUGAUCCAUCACGCAGCCUGAGGCCGCGGCGACGUAGAUGACAUCAUCAUCAUCAUCAUCAUCAUCAUCACUUCUUAUGUCGAGCACCUUCUGGAACUUUUUUGCUUUUUAGAAUCUCUCUCUACUUUGAUUUCUUAAUUGUUACAACAUUCCUGAUCAGCUAAUGAGCAUCAACAGCAUCACCAAACUUCCACCAAAACCCAGAGUGAUGAGAUCUAAUUACUGGUACGUGUGUGUAAAAAGUUUAAAACCACGACAGCAGCAAAACAAAUGCUGCAGCUAACCCGCUAACGACGUAGCGUUCAGCCCCGAUGGUUACCUGCUCCGUCUUCAUCCUCCUUUAAAUCUACGAGGUCACAAAACCUGGCAGCAGAUUUAAGCCGAGGUGAGUCAUCAGCAUGAGAGCCGUCAUGGAUCACCUCCCUGGAGGAAUGCCAUCUUGUUGUUUGCUGUGUGCAUGUACCUGUCACCUGCCUGGGCUGCAAAUCACAGAUGACGGGACAGAGGAGAGAUUAAGAGAUGCAGCAGAGGGGUUUUCGACUGGAACCUGUUGAAGCGCUGAAGUAUCUGUUGGACAGCUGCUCUGUAACCGACUCCGUCUGUCAAGCACGUCGUGUACGGAGCUGUUCCAGCCGAGGACGUCGGCCUGCUCCGGUAACCAACACGGUACCGGAGCUGCAGAAAACAGGAACUGAAUAAUGAACUGAAACAGGCCAGGAUGAGAUGAUUAAACGCCCUGCAGGAGGUCCCUUUCUGCAAAAUCCCCCCGAAGAAAUGUAUAAAUAAAUAUAUGAAAAUAAAGAGGAGACAAUGUUC